rnacentral:rRNA from 1 species
UUGGGAAUAUUGGACAAUGGGAGAAAUCCUGAUCCAGCAAUGCCGCGUGAAUGAUGAAGGCCUUCGGGUCGUAAAGUUCUUUCAGCGGGGACGAAGGGAAACUUGACGGUACCCGCAGAAGAAGCACCGGCUAACUACGUGCCAGCAGCCGCGGUAAUACGUAGGGUGCAAGCGUUGUUCGGAAUCAUUGGGCGUAAAGCGCGUGUAGGCGGUUUCCUAAGUCUGGUGUGAAAUCCCGGGGCUUAACCCCGGAAGUGCAUUGGAUACUGGGUAACUAGAGGACGAGAGAGGGAAGCGGAAUUCCUGGUGUAGGGGUGAAAUCCGUAGAUAUCAGGAGGAACAUCGGUGGCGAAGGCGGCUUCCUGGCUCGUUUCUGACGCUGAGAUGCGAAAGCGUGGGGAGCAAACAGG